UUACCAUCUGUUUAUUAUGAGGCAGGCAAAAACUGACAGACACAUAUAGUGAAAUCAUCAAAUCAAAUGUCAAAACUUAAUUGUGAUUACUGAUCAUAAUAUGUGAUGGUUAUAAUGAUAGAACAUACAUGUGAUGGUUAUAAUGAUAGUUAGAACAUACAUGUGAUGGUUAUAAUGAUAGAACAUACAUGUGAUGGUUAUAAUGAUAGUUAGAACAUACAUGUGAUGGUUAUAAUGAUAGAACAUACAUGUGAUGGUUAUAAUGAUAGUUAGAACAUACAUGUGAUGGUUAUAAUGAUAGAACAUACAUGUGAUGGUUAUAAUGAUAGAACAUACAUGUGAUGGUUAUAAUGAUAGUAGGAACAUACAUGUGAUGGUUAUAAUGAUAGAACAUACAUGUGAUGGUUAUAAUGAUAGUUAGAACAUACAUGUGAUGGUUAUAAUGAUAGUUAGAACAUACAUGUGAUGGUUAUAAUGAUAGAACAUACAUGUGAUGGUUAUAAUGAUAGUUAGAACAUACAUGUGAUGGUUAUAAUGAUAGAACAUACAUGUGAUGGUUAUAAUGAUAGUUAGAACAUACAUGUGAUGGUUAUAAUGAUAGAACAUACAUGUGAUGGUUAUAAUGAUAGUUAGAACAUACAUGUGAUGGUUAUAAUGAUAGAACAUACAUGUGAUGGUUAUAAUGAUAGUUAGAACAUACAUGUGAUGGUUAUAAUGAUAGAACAUACAUGUGAUGGUUAUAAUGAUAGAACAUACAUGUGAUGGUUAUAAUGAUAGUAGGAACAUACAUGUGAUGGUUAUAAUGAUAGUAGGAACAUACAUGUGAUGGUUAUAAUGAUAGUUAGAACAAACAUGUGAUGGUUAUAAUGAUAGUUAGAACAUACAUGUGAUGGUUAUAAUGAUAGAACAUACAUGUGAUGGUUAUAAUGAUAGUUAGAACAUACAUGUGAUGGUUAUAAUGAUAGUUAGAACAUACAUGUGAUGGUUAUAAUGAUAGUUAGAACAUACAUGUGAUGGUUAUAAUGAUAGUAGGAACAUACAUGUGAUGGUUAUAAUGAUAGUUAGAACAUACAUGUGAUGGUUAUAAUGAUAGAACAUACAUGUGAUGGUUAUAAUGAUAGAACAUACAUGUGAUGGUUAUAAUGAUAGAACAUACAUGUGAUGGUUAUAAUGAUAGAACAUACAUGUGAUGGUUAUAAAAUGACAGUGUAGGUACAUAUUGUUACUUAACCACAAGUGUU